CGGCGGACGGGUGAGUAACGCGUGGGUAACCUGCCUCAUACAGGGGGAUAACAGUUAGAAAUGACUGCUAAUACCGCAUAAGACCACAGCACCGCAUGGUGCGGGGGUAAAAACUCCGGUGGUAUGGGAUGGACCCGCGUCUGAUUAGCUAGUUGGUAAGGUAACGGCUUACCAAGGCGACGAUCAGUAGCCGACCUGAGAGGGUGACCGGCCACAUUGGGACUGAGACACGGCCCAG
rnacentral:rRNA from 1 species